GACGAACGCUGGCGGCGUGCUUAAUACAUGCAAGUCGAACGGAAAGGCCCUGCUCUUGUGGCGUGCUCGAGUGGCGAACGGGUGAGUAACACGCGAGUAUACUGCCCUUGACUGUGGGAUAACAUCACGAAACUGGGGCUAAUACCGGAUAGGAGCUCCUGCUGCACGGUGGGGGUUGGAAAGUUUCGGCGGUUGUGGAUGGACUCGCGGGUUAUCAGCUUGUUGGUGGGGUAGGUGAUUACCAAGGUUUUGAAGGGUAGCCGGCCUGAGAGGGUGACCGGCCACAUUGGGACUGAGAUACGGCCCAGACUCGUACGGGAGGCAGCAGGGGGGAAUAUUACACAAUGGGCGGAAGUGUGAUGCAGCAACGCCGCGUGCGGGAUGACGGCCUUCGGGUUGUAAACCGCUUUCGCCUGUGACGAAGCGUGAGUGACGGUAAUGAGUAAGGAAGCACCGGCUAACUACGUG
rnacentral:rRNA from 1 species